UAUGAGGUGAAUUUCCAAAUGGAUGAUUCCCAUCAGCGUUAGGAUGAUGAAGACCUGUCCUCUGGCAUAUCAAGUAUCUUCAUCUUUGACAAGCAGAGUGACCAUGGCAUGACCAUACCACCUUCAGUUCAAUGAGCUUUCAGAUGACAGUCCCAUGAGUGAUAGACUAAAGUGAUUAGCUUCGAAGGACUGUUUGCUGACAGUACACAAAGGUGACUAUUACUUUUACUAACUCCUUUGUGCUUGGAGUCCCUUUCUGUUCUUUAAGUGGAGACAGGUGCAGCAGAAAAGAGCAUAUGGACCAACUGAGGAACUCUAGACUGCAUUAUUUGUUGCAGCAAUGAAGAACAGUGACUGAUAGGUUAAAUGAGAUUAUGAUGAAGAUGAGGGAAAAUGUGACAUUCAUGAGUAACUAAACAAUCCUGUGAAUCACAGUUGUGUGAGAAGAGGUUGGAUGGCUUCCUCACCUUGAAAGUGUCUCUUUCAUAGGUGAUCAUUAUAUAACCAUGAAGCUAUCUGAGCAAUGUUAUCAACAUAGGAAAUUAUUAACUGUUCUUAUGUUGGCUUUAAUCAGCUUGAUUGCAAUUGAUGUGGUAUGACUGUAUGAAGGGAAGCAGUUCGGAAUAUAUUGGGAAUAAACCAGUGAAGCUCUAUUGGAAGGCUCGGAGUGUAAGACUUCAUCUGCUGUAGCAACUUUCCUGUAUAUUACCCAACAAUUUUGUCCAGGCCAAAGAGCUGCAUAUGUAUUUUAACAAUGAGAAUUGUGUUAGGUUACAUUAUAUUAUCUAGGGACAAUUGUGUAUUUGUAUUAGUGAUCAUUAUUCUCCUUGUAGCAGCUAAACUUUUCAACUCCUAUUUAAGGUCUGCUGGUCAUGGGAAUUAUAUGUACAGAUUGUUAUAGUCUUGUACUUGUCCGUUGGACUUGAUCAUCUUUCGAGGUCCCUUCCAAUCCCUGGCAUUCUGUGAUUCUGUGAUCUUCAAUAAAUCUUUCAAGCAGAAAAAUAUGGUAAGGAGAUAAAUUAGCUAUCAAGGUGUUCCUGGCACAUUGCUGAAGAUUUUCACAUAUCUACAGUUAAAGAAAACAGCCUACUCUGAAGUACCAAUAAAUAAUAAAAGAUCAAGUUGUUAAGGAGCAGCGAUGGAGAAUCAUGGUAGGACAGGAAAAGGAUUAGAAAUGGAGCAUCACUGCAGAAAUUUGCUAUACAUUUGGUCUAAGAAACUAAGCAGUCAUCAAAGGCUGAAGUGGAUUUCAUUCCUGAUUUUCAGAUAGCUACUCUCUUGUAGUCAGUAAAGGAGGUUACAGAUCACAAAAGAAGACAUCUGCUCUCCUAACCUGGACUGUGACUGUGGAGAGAAUGUUUAAUGUAUGUGGUAGGAAGAUAGCAAGCACAAGGCACAACCUACUUGUUUAUCUCCUAGCACCAAGGAAGCAGAAAGCUGAGGACAAACAGUUCCUGGCAGCUAGAAUCUGGAAAGCUAAAAGGGGGAAAUGAACAAGUGUCAGAAACUAGCAGCUUCGUUCCAGGGUAGAUCACAGAAUUGGAAAGAGAAGGAGAAACAGCUUCAGGGUGCUUUCUUGAGGUGAAUAGGCCUAAUCGAACAUCACAAUGAACUUGUCUCCUACUCCAUUUAGACUUUAACUUGAGCCGCAGCAUAUCCAAGUUUCUCUGUUCCUGCACUGUCAUCAGACAUCCGUGAAGUAAAGACUGGUGUGGAGCAUGUCAUCCCUUAGCCAGUGCUGACUUAGUAAAGGGAUUUGUGAUGGUAUUUCUCCAGGUAAUAGAAUAACUGACAUCUAUGCCUAGGAUACAAGGAUUUAAAACUCCUACUUGUAUCAAACGUAAUACAAUACUGAAGUAGGCAGUGGGAAUAGUAGCCUGUACAGAAAGAAGGCUGUAAAAAUGUUUCAAGAAGAAAUGAAUAGUCAAGAGGAAGCAAACAAAAGAAAAUUAUUUGAAAGUCAAAUGUAAUAAGUCACUGAGAUGUAAUUUCUAAUACUGUUGUUAAAAUAUAAUCUUAUAUUGCAUAUU
rnacentral:lncRNA from 7 species